UACGGAGGGUGCAAGCGUUGUUCGGAAUUACUGGGCGUAAAGGGCGCGUAGGCGGCUCUUUAAGUCAGAUGUGAAAGUCCACGGCUCAACCGUGGAAGUGCAUUUGAUACUGAGGAGCUUGAGUACUGGAGGGGAUGGUGGAAUUCCCGGUGUAGAGGUGAAAUUCGUAGAUAUCGGGAGGAAUACCGGUGGCGAAGGCGACCAUCUGGCCAGAUACUGACGCUGAGGCGCGAAAGCGUGGGGAGCAAACAGG
rnacentral:rRNA from 1 species